rnacentral:rRNA from 1 species
GACGAACGCUGGCGGCGUGCUUAACACAUGCAAGUCGAGCGGUAAGGCCCUUUCGGGGGUACACGAGCGGCGAACGGGUGAGUAACACGUGGGUGACCUGCCCUCAGCUCUGGGAUAAGCCUGGGAAACUGGGUCUAAUACCGGAUAUGACUCCAUGACGCAUGUUGUGGGGUGGAAAGCCUUGUGCGGCUGAGGAUGGGCCCGCGGCCUAUCAGCUUGUUGGUGGGGUGAGGCCUACCAAGGCGACGACGGGUAGCCGGCCUGAGAGGGCGACCGGCCACACUGGGACUGAGACACGGCCCAGACUCCUACGGGAGGCAGCAGUGGGGAAUCUUGCGCAAUGGGCGAAAGCCUGACGCAGCGACGCCGCGUGAGGGAUGACGGCCUGGUGUAACUCUUCUACGCUCCGACGAACGACGAGAGUGACGGUAGGAGCGAGAAGAAG